AGUAAUACAUCGGAACGUGUCUUCUAGUGGGGGAUAACUGCCCGAAAGGGCAGCUAAUACCGCAUGAGACCUGAGGGUGAAAGCGGGGGAUCGCAAGACCUCGCGCUGGAAGAGCGGCCGAUGUCCGAUUAGCCAGUUGGUGAGGUAAAGGCUCACCAAGGCGACGAUCGGUAGCUGGUCUGAGAGGACGACCAGCCACACUGGGACUGAGACACGGCCCAG
rnacentral:rRNA from 1 species